CUUCAAGUCAGCACACUCCUGGCAACCCACGAGCUUGCCAUACUCCCCAGGAAAGCAGGCUUACAAUAGAUGCCAAAUCUUCACAAGAAAUGCCCAAGCCUGCAGAGAGAAUCAGAAAAUGAAGGGCUUUGCAUAAGUGAGCUUUAAACCUCUGCUGUUCAACUGUCCUCCUUCCUUCCGUUCCUCAAACACUCAAAGGUGUAGUCUUAGGGGAAAGGAUGGCAGAGUGAGGAAUAGAAAGCAAGGAAAGCCAGCUCCUAUGGAGAUGAAUGUUAUCUCAUGGAACAUGUCACCAAUGCCCAAGGAAUUCACCAGACCUCAGUGGUUGAACAUCAAACCACAGGCCCCAGCAUUCCCUCUGACAUCCUACCCCCAGAGUUCAUUAAAAGGUUUCCAUAAGGAAGCAGCCUUACUUACUGCUGGGGGAAGAUCAGCUUGAGAGACAAUGGAACAAACAUACUUGUUCCCAAAGGGUUUGGAGAACAGUGGCAGCAGGGAGUGAGUGGGAAAGCAAGUAGAGGUCAGAGGUCAUGGGCAGAGGUUAUCAAGCAACUUCUAAAUUGACUCUGAUUAAGUCUAAAGUGUUUCUGAAGGCUUAUACAGAGGAGUGGACUUAUGUUUAGUGAUUGGUAUGCUCACAUGUUUAGCUCUGAAUUCUCUUUCCAAGACUUACUGGUUG
rnacentral:lncRNA from 1 species